rnacentral:lncRNA from 1 species
CUGGAAGGCAUCUGAAGCUCCGGUCUUGGGGCGUCACAACACUCCACCACUACGAGAGGAUCUCGUCCCGAGAUCCAGAAUGGCACCGGAGGGGAAAAACAGAAGAGAAAGAGAAGAGGUAAAACUAAGUUGCUUCUUUACCUAAAGAGUGAAACCAAGAACCUUGCAAAGGUUAAGUCAAUUUGAAAGAAAGAAUACAAGAAGGUGAACAAAGUUGAAAACACUUCGUUAGAAAGGAACAAGGAACAACAACACGCUGCCUCCGGAACUAAUGAAUGAAUGAAACAAGGGGUAAGAAAGAUCUCAGACAGCACUCCGGUUGAGAAGAGAUGAAAGGCUUGAUAAGGCGAAAAGAGCUAGAGCAAAAAGGACACAACACUCCGGUUAAAUGGAUAAACCAAGAAAAGAACACGAUCCUGACAGAAUGAAAAGAUGGGUUGAAGAGAGCAACAUCACAAAGCCUCCGAAACAAAAUUAAGAAUCGAAUGGAAUGAACGAAGGGAAACAAGAUCUUGAGGGAGAACGCUUACAACAAAUGCUAGAACGGAGUUGUUGGAAAACCAACAACGAAAAGAAUAAGCUUGAUAUGGUCUUAUGGAAUACAUCUCAAAUUAUGAGGUGACAACCUGCCACUCACAGGAAAAGAAUUGAUUGGAUUUAUAUGAACAAGGAGACGAGAAACUUAUCACCGAAAGGAUACAUGAAGAACUUGGGUCAUUUAUGAGCACCAUAACAACAAUCCUUAGGGAAGGCUUUAGGUGAAAUAUAACCCAAGAUAAUUCCAAUGAAGAGAUUGAUGGAUUUAAAAUACCUCAUUCUUAACAACAUGUGAAUCAUGAAACAUGAACUCAAAUUAUCAAGAAUGACAUAAAACCACCUCCAACGAUACGGUAGAAAGAAAUUGCACUCCGGAUUGCAAGAUGAAGAAAGCUUGAGCUCCUUUGAAAAGAAUAUCAAUGAACACUUGGAGAAGGAAUUAUUUCUUUGAUGAACCAUCAUGUAGCACCUUGAUGAAGUACUCCGGUAAACAAAAGGAUGACGAAAAGAAAGGGAAGUUGAAAACACAAGGUGAAACCUUGUAAUGAUUUAGAUGGAUCUCCGUGAUGAUAUAAUUGAGAGAACUUGGAACUCCGGGAAAAGAGAGAUGAACCAAGUGAAACCGAGAAUUUGAAGAACCUCCGGAAUAGGGAAUUAAUCACUUGGAUGAAAAAGAAUAAGAAUUAUGUUAUGCUUGUCCUUCACCAAUUAAAUUGAUGAUAUAUAAUGGAUUUGGCACACUACUUAUUCUCGUAGAAAGGAUUAAGAUAGAUAUAGCACAAACUUGGGAAGGUCUUCAACGAACCACCGGUAGAAUUUGAAAAGCACGAAUGCAUAGAUAUGAUACACGAAGGAAGAAAACUCUUGAACGAACCACCGUAAGAAUUGAAAACGAAUGAAGUAAAGAUAACGAAACACCAGGAAGAAUUAGCAAUCAAACGAAGAUGCUUGAGAGAAUUUAGAUCCAUGGGAACGAAGAGAUUACGAGCUGAUUAGAGAAUCCUUGAUUUAGACACCCGUAUGAUUUAGAGUAUGAGAGCUGAAAGUUGGACUGAAUAAAUCUUAGAUGAUGGGCUCCGGAUAAUCAAACUGAGCAGAAUCUUGAAUUGCUCUGGAUAGGUGAAAAUAAUUCUCACAAACGAAAUAAAUUAUGAGAUGAUAGCAACAAGCUACAAUCAUGAAGCAUGAAGAGAAUGGGGUAAGAUAUGGAGGAAAAACUCUUCUUCGGUCUUCAAAAUCUAAGAAAAACGACGAGAAACACCACCCUGAAUUAUUUAGGCACUCCGAAAGAAUCAAAACGAAGAGGUUGAGCGAACGAUGAAAAGAAUUUGAAAGAUCUUGGAGAAAGGCAUUUGACUGAUGAUAACUCAUUCUUACAUCAAACUUGGAAAAGAAUUUGAGGAUAGCUCCGGGAAAAUAAGAAGAGUCAGGUAAGAUCCUGGGAAAAGACAUGUGGGUUAGGGCCCACUCAAAAGAUACACCGUUGAACGAUUUAAAAGAGAGAAAGCACCGGUUAAAUAAAAUGGCUUGAAUGAGAUAACAACCUCGAAAUAGGUUGAACGGAUCUUGAAUGACAAGACGAGCCUUUUGAGAUAGCUUGAGCACGCCGGAACAAAUGAGUAGCGAGAAGUGAAUUAUUAUGAGGUGCACCGGUAUGAGAAGGCAUUUGAAACGAGGAAAGGAUAAGAUCCAUAAAGCUUGAAUUAAAUCCACCGGAGAAGAAAGAGAAUGAAUAAUGAUGAACUUGAGGUUCCGUUAGGAUCUUCAUGAGAAUCACCGGAUAAGAAUAUUAACGGAAAAGAAUGGAGAGACUUCACAUGAAUAAAAUGGAUACUUGAUUCAGUAAUCUGAGUUCUUGAAGGAAAAGGGUGGGUGGGCGGGAAAAACAAAGGCAACUUGGAGACGGAUGAAACAAACACCGUUCAGAAGAAACUGAUACUUGAUCUUGCGGAUGUUGAAAUGAUCGGAUCCACUUGAAGAGAAGCACGCCGGUUAAAAAGGAUUGACAUGACAGUCUCGAUGACCGAGAAGGAUUAGUGUUCACAUCGGGGUAUGAGAACACCACUUAGGAAAAGGUAUGGAAUCAACAUUUGACUUCGAAGCAACUUGAAAACCACAACUCAAAACAAAAACAAAGGAUUGGCUUGCAAAAUAAGCCGGAACAAACAUAUGAUAGAGACUUCGUCCGAAGUUUUCGUGGUGGGGCCUACACAGGCUCGAUCGUACAGCACCAUCACGUACAAGGCAGUGCACAUGACAUACGAAGCGUCCCCGAGUCGGCAUAGCCAAGGACUCUUUAAGACACAACAAGACCACUGUAAAACCGACCGUGGAUAGGUGGACCACUAGACGUCGAACCCCAAUUUCAUAUCAUACCUCUGUCGGAAAGAUAUCAUAAGAGCUACUUGAAUUCCCACUUAUAAACUCCCGAAACUUUCCGGUUAUGCAAUCAGGUGUUGGGGAUACAGGGGAAGCAUAAUAUCUCACCCAAAACUAGCAAAUCCUACAUCCAGCUAUAUCCAUCCUUCAACACAUAACCAAGAAACCUUCGGAAAUCAUCUACCUCAACCUUCGAAAAGCAUCCGUUAUACGAGUUAUGGCAAUACUCCCGAACUCCUGCCCUAGUACUGGACGGCGUCGAGGUUAUCUCACCAACAACUGCAUAAAAGAGAUUUUCGAUGUCGGCGAAACUAAACUCAGGUAUUGCAGAACUGCAACGAUAAAAUUGUGAUGACAACACCUCGGAGCUCAACUCCCCGGGACACUGCCACAACCCCUAAAUGUCAGGAGGCACCAAGAACAAUGUUCUCGUCACAAAACCAUCGGAACGAUUCCAAGAUACCCGCGUGAUCCUAAAUUUUUUUUAGUGAAAUUUGAGAAGAGAAGAGUCAAAACUCUACGUCAGGAUGCCUUACCAGAGCGAUGAAGGGACUGGGGAGUAAAAAGAACUCCGAACUCUCCGAUAUAUAAUUCCUAAAUGACUCAAAACAUUUUUCUAGCCUCAACAACGUCUGCUAAUUUGAUCAAGAAGUGGGGGCUCCUAAGGUCGGGGAUGGCUCUGAUUACCAACUUGUAACGCCCUCGAUGCGGCUAUAUCUCCCACAUGUCGAAGCACGACUUAGAGGCAUAACCGCAUUGAAAGCAAUGUCGCAAGUGAGGUAAUCUUCACACAACCCAUGUAAUACAUAAGGGAAAGAGAUACAUAGUUGGCUUACAAUCGCCACUUCACACAAUACAUGAAUAAAGCAUUACAUCAUCCAAAUACAAUCAAGGUCCGACUACGGAACCAAAAUAAAAGAAGAACCCCAAAUGCGACAAGGUCCCCGAUCGACCCCAACUGGGCUCCACUACUGAUCAGCUAGAACAAAACAACACAAAGGACAAGAUCUUCAUCGAGCUCCUCCUUGAGCUUGGUUGCAUCAUCUGCACGGUUCAACGGCACCUACAAGCUGGUUUUGGAAGUAUCUAUGAGUCACGGGGACUCAGCAAUCUCACACCCUCGCGAUCAAGACUAUUUAAACUUAUGGGUAAGGUAAAAGGUAUGAGGUGGAGCUGCAGCAAGCGACUGGCAUAUAUGGUGGCUAACAUACGCAAAUGAGAGCGAGAAGAGAAGGCAAAGCACGAUCGAGAAAACUAUGAUCAAGAAGUGAUCCUAGAACAACCUACAUCAAGCAUAACUCCAACACCGUGUUCACUUCCCGGACUCCGCCGAGAAGAGACCAUCACGGUAACACAUGCAAUUGAUGUAUUUUAAUUAAGGUCAACUUCAAGUUUUCUACAACCGGACAUUAACAAAUUCCCAUCUGCACAUAUCUCGUUCUCAGGGCACAUCGGAUUGUCUAAACUUCCGGUAGGCCAGCCCAGAGUUGCCCCUGGUGGCCACCGGCGGCUGAUAGGUUGGACCAACACUCAGAGGAGCACUGGCCCGGGGGUUUAAAUAAAGAUGACCCUUGAGCCGGCCGACUCAAGGGAAAGAAAAGGCUAGGUGGCGAAUGGUAAAACCAAUGUUGGGCCUUGUUGGAGGAGUUUUAUUCAAGGCGAACUGUCAAGGGGUUCCCAUUAUACCCAACCGCGUAAGGAACGCAAAAUCCAGGAACAUAACAUCGAUAUGACGGAAACUAGGGCGGCAAGAGUGGAACAAAACACCAGGCAUAAGGCCGAGCCUUCCACCCUUUACCAAGUAUAUAGAUGCAUUAAUUAAAUAAGAGAUAUUGUGAUAUCCCAACAAGUAAACAUGUUCCAACAAGGAACAACAUCUCCAUGUUCCAACAAGGAACAAACUUCAAUCUUCACCUGCAACUAACAACGCUAUAAGAGGGGCUGAGCAAAGCGGUAACAUAGCGAAACAAUGGUUUGCUAGGACAAGAUGGGUUAGAGGCUUGGUUCACAAUAUAGGAGGCAUGAUAAGCAAGUGGUAGGUAUCGCAGCAUAGGCAUAGCAAAAGAGUGAGCAUCUAGCAAGCAAAGAUAGAAGUGAUUUCGAGGGUAUGGUCAUGUUGCCUGAAAUCCCGCAAGGAAGAAGAACGAGUCCAUGAAGAAGACAAAGUGGAUGUAGUCGAACCAAAACUCACAACUCCGGAACGAAACCGAAGCUAACGCGAGAAGCAACCCGGAAAGAAGCAAACAACAAAGUAAACAACCAUCACAUAAACAUGGCAUGAUGCACAACCAAGAAUGAUGCAUGUCCGGUUUAAAUAUGCAUGGCAUGGCAAAGUGCACAAACAACUCUACAAGUUAAGUGGAGCUCAAUAUGCAACGAGUUGCAUAUGGACGAAACACCACAUCAAAUAUUUAGUUCUCUCUCGAUUAGAUACUCAACAAAAUUAAAUGUUGGUUAACAUGGCAAGAGGUGAAGCAUAACAAAACUAUACUAUCUAAAAAAUUAAAUGGGGCCGGAUAUAACAAACAACAAAUCCGGUAAAUCCCCAUAUGCAUUUAGAAAAUUAAUGUAACAACAAUUUAAACAUUUUAAUUGUUGCUAUCAUGAUGUGGAUGACAUGAACAAGUUUAUGCAAUUUUUAUUAAAAGUUUGACAAGAGCAUUAUGAAGUACUUGUCACCUUGGUGGAAAUGAAAGGGGUGCCACGGCAACGAUAACAAAAACGGUGCCACGGCAGCGUUCCGGUUCCGGUAACUUGAUUGAGAUACCGAUGCAAAGGAGAAGUGUGCGGAUGCGUGCAAAAGAUGGUGGGGCGCUCCCGGAUUUCGGGGGUCCCACGAGUUAGUGGCAUGGAAACGAGUGACAAAACGGACACGUUGCAGACAAAGGGUGCAUCUCAUCCCACAUGCAUUCAUUCGUUCACGGGCGUCGUCUCGGGGUUAUACCUUCGAGGUGAGACUUUUCGGAACGGAUCAAGUUCGUAGAGGGAAGUAGGCGUUCUCGCGACGGCGGUAGUGGAAGUAGUCGUUCUCGCUUCGUAGAUGUUCGGGGUCACGACACGAAACUUGAUGUCCACGGGGUCUUCCGCGAUGGUCGUGGUACAUGUUUCGUAAACGUUCGUGCUCGCCGAUAGUUGUACAUAGUCGUUGUUGGACUUGACGGAUCCGAUGACUUCGGGGUUCACCGUUGGACUUGACGAAACCCACGGCAAUGGAGAGGUACGCGUCGGCGGUAGUCGUUCGGGCGGCCAGCACCGUCGAACUUGGCGGGCGUCGCGUAGUCGUACACUUCGAUGGUAGUCGUUCACGUUCGUAUUGGUACUUGGCGCCAUUGUGUCUCGAGUACUUGAUGGUUCCGGUCGGUACAGCAAAACGUAGUCGACCGUGACGAUGUUUCGGUGCGGACCUUAGCGAACCAAAACAAGGCAGCACCAUGGCGGUCUUGGCGGCCAACAAAGGGGUCACGUGACCACGACGAUAAACAGGGGCGCGUCAUCAUGGCGGGGAGGUGGCGUGCCCGUUUCUUUUGUCAUGGGAAAACACGGCAGCAGCAGGAACGACAGCUCUGGUGUGGGGCUGCCCGAUUCUCUCAGGAGCCAUGGCCAGAGGCGGGCGGCGCGGCUUCGUGAGGAGCCUAGGGCGGCCAUGCUGGAGAGAGAGGCGCGGGCGGGAGGAGGUGCCCUCGUGUGUAGCCGCGGCGUCAAGCACGGGAGGAGGGCAAGGCCACGAUGUGGCAGCGGGGAACUUGGCAGAGCCGGCCAUCCAUGGCUGAACCAAAAAUGCACAAUGCGCAGGCAAAGGAACGAGGAAGCAGAGGGGAGGCUUCGUGCAGAGAAGAGUUGGCAGGGCACGGUGCUCACCGGAGUCGAGGCCGAAGGGGACGGUUCGAGGGUGAUGAUGCCAUGGCCGAGAGGGAGAGAUGGGUGUCGAGGGAGAGAAGUGAACGGCGCGUGGAGCUCUCCCUCCCUUUUCUGACUGCAGGUGCAGCGCAGGAGGAGGACUCGGCCGUGAGUCGACGAUCUCGACCAGCAGGGUUGGGCGGCGGCGCGAAGUGGCAUCCGGGCGUCGAGGCGGGGCGCGGCGGCCAUGGAGGUGGGGUGCAGCAUAGCGGCAAGACGACGACGACUGCAGGGCGCCUGCGGCGGGCCGGAUUGAGGAGGAAGGAGGCUCGAGCUGAUGGCGAUGGGGAUCGGGUUGCUCUCUGUGAGUGCGAGAGAGAAGGUGAGAGGAGAGAGCGAGGGGGAUCGAGGAGAUGGCUCUGGCGGCGGUGAGGGAAUGAGGCAAGGAGUUCGAGGGAGAGGGUAGCGAGGGGAGAUGAUGGGCCUAGGGUUAGGGACUGUAGCAGGGCGCUGCUGGGCCUUAGAGGCCGCUAGGCCUAGGUGGGCCGCGGGGAUGGCGCCUGCUUGGCAGGUUGCAGCUAGGCUGGGAGGCCCAGCCGGGCACUUCUCUCUCCCAUCUCCUUCUCUUUAAAAAAACAAAGAAAUAAAAGAAGGGAAAAGAGAGAAGAGAAGGUUAGAGUAAGAAUUUGGGCACAGGGGUAAUUUUUAUGGACUCGGAAAAAUGUGCACGGGCGGGGAAAAUAGAAAAGGUCAAGUUUGAAAGAUUAAAUUCAAAUUCCUUUGAAGUUAAUUCAAAAGGUUUGAACUGGGACAGGUUUAUCAAAGUGCCCAAAAAUGUUGAGAAUUUAGGUGGAGCUCCGGAAAAUGAUGAAAGAAAUAUAAGGCAAGGUUAGAGAGUCAACACUUGAAGAAGAAAAAGGCCAAGGGAUUUAAUAUGCAAGUGUGUUAAGGUGAAUUCCAAAACAAUGGAAUGGUUUUAUAUAGCUCCCUAAAUAUUGGGAGGAUAUGUUAUAAAGAGAAUCACCAUGUGAAUUCCCUCGGUUUAAAUGGAUCAAAGAUCCAUGCCAUUUAUUUAGUUGAGUUAAGAAAAGAAAUGACAUGAUGCAAUGCACAUGAUGCAAUGAUGAAUGCAAAGAACCAAACAAAUCACACGACGAAACCCGGAAAUCCUGGAAGGCAUCUGAAGCUCCGGUCUUGGGGCGUCACAACACUCCACCACUACGAGAGGAUCUCGUCCCGAGAUCCAUAAUGGCACCGGAGGGGGAAAACGGAAGAGAAAGAGAAGAGGUAAAACUAAGUUGCUUCUUUACCCAAAGAGUGAAACCAAGAACCUUGCAAAGGUUAAGUCAAUUUGAAAGAAAGAAUACAACGAAGGUGAACAAAGUUGAAAAC